rnacentral:rRNA from 1 species
AUUGAACGCUGGCGGCAUGCCUAACACAUGCAAGUCGAACGGCAGCACGGGAGCUUGCUCCUGGUGGCGAGUGGCGGACGGGUGAGUAAUGCAUAGGAAUCUGCCCAGUAGCGGGGGACAACUUGGGGAAACUCAAGCUAAUACCGCAUGCGCCCUACGGGGGAAAGCGGGGGACCUUCGGGCCUCGCACUAUUGGAUGAGCCUAUGUCAGAUUAGCUUGUUGGUGGGGUAACGGCCUACCAAGGCGACGAUCUGUAGCUGGUCUGAGAGGACGAUCAGCCACACUGGGACUGAGACACGGCCCAGACUCCUACGGGAGGCAGCAGUGGGGAAUAUUGCACAAUGGGCGAAAGCCUGAUGCAGCAAUGCCGCGUGUGUGAAGAAGGCCUGCGGGUUGUAAAGCACUUUCAGUUGGGAAGAUGAUGACGUUACCAACAGAAGAAGCACCGGCUAACUCCGUGCCAGCAGCCGCGGUAAAG